rnacentral:rRNA from 1 species
UAGGGAAUAUUGGGCAAUGGACGCAAGUCUGACCCAGCCAUGCCGCGUGAAGGAUGAAUGCCCUUUGGGUUGUAAACUUCUUUUAUCUGGGAAGAAAAUCAGUGAUUCAUCAUUGACUGACGGUACCAGAGGAAUAAGCACCGGCUAACUCCGUGCCAGCAGCCGCGGUAAUACGGAGGGUGCAAGCGUUAUCCGGAAUCACUGGGUUUAAAGGGUACGUAGGCGGCUUGAUAAGUCAGGAGUGAAAGGUCUCGGCUUAACCGAGGAAAUGCUUUUGAUACUGUCAAGCUUGGAUUGAUGCGAUGUGGGCAGAAUGCGCCAUGUAGCGGUGAAAUGCAUAGAUAUGGCGUAGAAUACCGAUUGCGAAGGCAGCUCACAAGAAUCAUAUUGACGCUGAGGU